GGUCCAAUGGUCUAGAGGUAUGAUUCACCCUUAGGGCUUAGGUCAUACUGGGUGAGGUCCCGCGUUCGAUUCGCGGUUGGACCC
rnacentral:tRNA from 1 species